UGGGGGAUAUUGCACAAUGGGCGAAAGCCUGAUGCAGCGACGCCGCGUGGGGGAUGAAGGCUUUCGGGUUGUAAACCUCUUUCGCUAUCGAACAAGGCCCGCUUAGGGUGGGUUGAGGGUAGGCGGAGAAGAAGCGCCGGCUAACUACGUGCCAGCAGCCGCGGUAAUACGUAGGGCGCGAGCGUUGUCCGGAAUUAUUGGGCGUAAAGGGCUUGUAGGCGGGUUGUUGCGCCUGCUGUGAAAACGCGGGGCUUAACUUCGCGCGUGCAGUGGGUACGGGCAGGCUUGAGUGUGGUAGGGGUGACUGGAAUUCCAGGUGUAGCGGUGGAAUGCGCAGAUAUCUGGAGGAACACCGAUGGCGAAGGCAGGUCACUGGGCCAUUACUGACGCUGAGGAGCGAAAGCAUGGGUAGCGAACAGG
rnacentral:rRNA from 1 species